rnacentral:tRNA from 1 species
UAGUAUUGUCGAGAUUCGAUCCUGGACCCUCAUUGUGUUAAGCUAACUUGAUAACCAACUACACCACGACACA